rnacentral:lncRNA from 1 species
ACUGCAUCUUUAGCUGUUGUCUGCAAGGACCCCACUUUAACCCGGGUAUUAGAGGAUCCUGAGGAAGCCUGGGAAGGCGAGUAGUCUGAAGGCGGGUUCUGAGACUCAGCUUAGGCCUAGGUUACACAGAUGAUUAGACGAAGAUCCAGCACUGCAGCAGGAUUCUCCUGGGCUCCAUUCCAGUGAUCUUUCCUUACCUUGUGCUGCCUCCUGGUGAGCUCAGCUGUGAGCACACAAAGAACUUAAAAUGAGAUAAGGAAAUGGAGGCUCAGUGAGGCACUGUGCUAGACUCAGGCAAUACAAGGAUGGACAAGAAAGAAAGCAUCCCUGCCUUCAUGAAACUCACAGUCUGAAGUCAAUAAACAAAUUUGCUCCGUGUUAGCAGUUGGAUUUGAAUUCUCAACACGCACUCCAUGGCUUGGCUUACCCACCAAAUUUUGAACAGAUUUUACCAUAUUCUUUAAAUCCUCUGGCAGCUGUUGCCACUUUACAGAAAGAAAAGUGUGGCUCAGACCAUAAUUUCAGGAAGAAGCAUGCAAUUUUUGGUAAUUCAAUGAAAUAUAAAGAUGAAUCAGAAGUCCGGUAUAGAAUGCAUCAUCCAUUGGUUCUGGAUUUAACAUACAAAAUCCGUAAAAGAACUGAAAUGUUCUGAAGCUUGAAUCUCUCUCAUGCAGUUAUUCUGUUGGAUGAAGUGGCAUUUCAAAUUUGCUCACUCAGAUUUGGGACAUUAGUCUCAUUCUGAAGCACACCAAUGCUUCCAGAACUACCAGCAUGCUGUAAUGAAAGGUACCGCCAUGAGACUUGAAGAAGUAUCUGACUUUGUCCCAAAAUCUAUCUGAAUAAGAAAAACGGACAAACAAAAAGAUAAGGAGAAGAAAGAGGAAACAAAAGCUAAAAGGUUCACCUUAACUUUCCCAGCAUUUUCGUCAUCUUCUUUUUUGUCUUCAAAUUCAAAGGCAACAGUCAUGCGUUGUUGUCUCUGCUCUUCCCACAGUGUAGGGUUAAAGCUGUCACUGUCUGACUGGAAAUCUACAGUUAGAUUCCAAAGUAUUAUUGUUUUUUUAAAAAACAAUUUUACACAAAGUAUUUAAUAUAGUAUGCAAAAAUGGUGAUAGAUACUACAAACAAAUACGGAAAUAAAGAAGAAAGAAAGAAAAAAAGAAAGAGAAAGAAGGAAAGAGAAAAGAAUAAAAUUCCCUUGAUAUUUAUUA